rnacentral:rRNA from 1 species
AGAUGUUGGGUUAAGUCCCGCAACGAGCGCAACCCUUGUCUUUAAUUGCCAUCAUUCAGUUUGGGCACUUUAAAGAGACUGCCGGUGUUAAACCGGAGGAAGUGGGAUGACGUCAAGCCCUCAUGGCCUUUAUGCCCAGGGCUACACACGUGCUACAAUGGGUGGUACAAAGAGAUGCAAUCUCGCAAGAGCAAGCAAACCUCAAAAAGCCAUCCUCAGUUCGGAUUGGAGUCUGCAACUCGACUCCAUGAAGUCGGAAUCGCUAGUAAUCGCGGAUCAGCACGCCGCGGUGAAUACGUUCCCGGGUCUU